GGCCAAUACUCGCAAAACACACCCCCUAAUAAAAAUUAUUAAUUACUCGUUCAUUGAUCUUCCCACACCAUCGAAUAUUUCUAUAUGAUGAAACUUCAGCUCACUUCUUGGUGCCUGCCUAAUCCUCCAGAUCAUUACAGGAUUAUUUUUGGCCACACACUACACAUCAGACACCUCCACUGCCUUCUCUUCAGUCACUCAUAUCAGCCAAGAUGUAAACUACAGCUGAAUGGUUCGCUAUUUUCAUGCUAAUGGCACUUCAAUAUUUUUCAUCUGCCUCUUCUUACAUGUUGGCCGAGGUUUAUACUAUGAAUGAUUUACAUUUUCCAGAAACCUGAAAUAUUGGCAUUAUCUACCUGCUCACAACUAUAGCAAAAGCAUUCACAGGAUACAUGCUCCCAUGAGGCCAGAUAUCAUUCUGAGGCGCUACAAUAAUUACAAAUCUACUAUCAGCCAUCCCAUAUAUUGGAACUGACCUUGUCCAGUGAAUCUGAGGUGGAUUCUCAGUUGACAAAGCCACCCUUAAAGGACUUUUUGCCUUCCAUUUCAUCUUAUCCUUCAUAAUUACAGCUCUAGCAUCUGUUCACCCUUUAUUCUUACAGGAAACAGGAUCUAACAACCCUUCAGGGGUUUCAUCAGAUGCUGACAAAAUUACCUUCCACCCCAAGUU
rnacentral:lncRNA from 1 species